rnacentral:rRNA from 1 species
AUUGAACGCUGGCGGCAGGCCUAACACAUGCAAGUCGAGCGGAUGAAGGGAGCUUGCUCCUGGAUUCAGCGGCGGACGGGUGAGUAAUGCCUAGGAAUCUGCCUGGUAGUGGGGGAUAACGUCCGGAAACGGGCGCUAAUACCGCAUACGUCCUGAGGGAGAAAGUGGGGGAUCUUCGGACCUCACGCUAUCAGAUGAGCCUAGGUCGGAUUAGCUAGUUGGUGGGGUAAAGGCCUACCAAGGCGACGAUCCGUAACUGGUCUGAGAGGAUGAUCAGUCAACCUGGAACUGAGGACAGGGCCAGAACUCUAAGGGAGGGCGCAGGGGGGAAUAUUUGAACAAUGGCGAAAGCCUGAUCCAGCCAUGCCGCGUGUGUGAAGAAGGUCUUCGGAUUGUAAAGCACUUUAAGUUGGGAGGAAGGGCAGUAAGUUAAUACCUUGCUGUUUUGACGUUACCAACAGAAUAAGCACCGGCUAACUUCGUG